rnacentral:lncRNA from 1 species
CAAAUGAAAAAGGUUUGCAAACUGUGAAAAUUCAUGGCACAGCUUUGAAAACCAAUUUGUUGAUAAAAUGGUAUUGAAUACAAUUGUGCUUGCACCAAGAACACUAUUGCAUAUAGGGGUUAUAAAAAUAUAUAUAUAAAAAAAAAUUAGAACCUUUGUUGUGUAAGGACAAUGCUUUGUGAUAACAGUUGAUUAAUACUAUCAUCACAGCUUGUCAUAUUAUAAGGUUUCUAUUAAAUCUAUUUUUAAAGAAAACCCCAUGUGAACUCAUGAAAAACAGAAAAUCAAAUGUUGCAUACCUUCAUGUUUUUCAGUUAUACAUAUUAUGUUCUCAAGAAUGAAAUAUAUGCCAAAUCUGAUAAAACAAGUAUUUCUUUGGAUAUUACUCU